GAUGAACGCUGGCGGCGUGCCUAAUACAUGCAAGUCGAGCGAACAGACGAGGAGCUUGCUCCUCUGACGUUAGCGGCGGACGGGUGAGUAACACGUGGAUAACCUACCUAUAAGACUGGGAUAACUUCGGGAAACCGGAGCUAAUACCGGAUAAUAUAUUGAACCGCAUGGUUCAAUAGUGAAAGACGGUUUUGCUGUCACUUAUAGAUGGAUCCGCGCCGCAUUAGCUAGUUGGUAAGGUAACGGCUUACCAAGGCAACGAUGCGUAGCCGACCUGAGAGGGUGGUAGGCCACACUGGAACUGAGACACGGUCCAGACUACUACGGGAGGCAGCAGUAGGGAAUCUUCCGCAAUGGGCGAAAGCCUGACGGAGCAACGCCGCGUGAGUGAUGAAGGUCUUCGGAUCGUAAAACUCUGUUAUUAGGGAAGAACAAAUGUGUAAGUAACUAUGCACGUCUUGACGGUACCUAAUCAGAAAGCCACGGCUAACUACGUG
rnacentral:rRNA from 1 species